rnacentral:rRNA from 1 species
AGAGUUUGAUCCUGGCUCAGGAUGAACGCUGGCGGCGUGCCUAAUACAUGCAAGUCGAGCGAACGGACGAGAAGCUUGCUUCUCUGAUGUUAGCGGCGGACGGGUGGGUAACACGUGGAUAACCUACCUAUAAGACUGGGAUAACUUCGGGAAACCGGAGCUAAUACCGGAUAAUAUUUUGAACCGCAUGGUUCAAAAGUGAAAGACGGUCUUGCUGUCACUUAUAGAUGGAUCCGCGCUGCAUUAGCUAGUUGGUAAGGUAACGGCUUACCAAGGCAACGAUGCAUAGCCGACCUGAGAGGGUGAUCGGCCACACUGGAACUGAGACACGGUCCGGACUCCUACGGGAGGCAGCAGUAGGGAAUCUUCCGCAAUGGGCGAAAGCCUGACGGAGCAACGCCGCGUGAGUGAUGAAGGUCUUCGGAUCGUAAAACUCUGUUAUUAGGGAAGAACAUAUGUGUAAGUAACUGUGCACAUCUUGACGGUACCUAAUCAGAAAGCCACGGCUAACUACGUGCCAGCAGCCGCGGUAAUACGUAGGUGGCAAGCGUUAUCCGGAAUUAUUGGGCGUAAAGCGCGCGUAGGCGGUUUUUUAAGUCUGAUGUGAAAGCCCACGGCUCAACCGUGGAGGGUCAUUGGAAACUGGAAAACUUGAGUGCAGAAGAGGAAAGUGGAAUUCCAUGUGUAGCGGUGAAAUGCGCAGAGAUAUGGAGGAACACCAGUGGCGAAGGCGACUUUCUGGUCUGUAACUGACGCUGAUGUGCGAAAGCGUGGGGAUCAAACAGGAUUAGAUACCCUGGUAGUCC